rnacentral:rRNA from 1 species
UACGUAGGGGGCGAGCGUUGUCCGGAUUUAUUGGGCGUAAAGGGCGCGUAGGCGGUUUGACAAGUCUGAUGUGAAAUCUAUGGGCUCAACCCAUAGCCUGCAUUAGAAACUGUCGGGCUUGAGUAUGGGAGAGGUGAGUGGAAUUCCCGGUGUAGAGGUGAAAUUCGUAGAUAUCGGGAGGAACACCAGUGGCGAAGGCGGCUUCCUGGACAUUUACUGACGCUGAGACGCGAAGCGUGGGGAGCAAACAGG